GCUAAAUGUAGGGCUUGUUUUCUGAUUCAUGGUAGUCUUGUGGAAGUGCAGAGCAAUGCCCUGAAUUGACUGAAGACCCCAUGAUGGUGGCUGUGUGCUGACUGACAAGCACUGGUGGAAAUGGUGAGGGCCAGGAAUGACAUACAACUGUCUGAAAAAAAGCAGGCCAUUGAGGACAAUGAUGACACCUUUGCCAAUAUUGCAUCCAUCAGCCUACCACCAAUCACCCGCCUUUUGAAGAGGCACCAGGUAUCUAUGAAACACAUUUACCUGGUGCCUUUUGAGAGAAACAUCAACCGGGUGAAACAACUCUGGGCAGAGUGUGUUCAGAGGGUGAUGGUGCUUGAUGCUGCUGUGAGCCAUCACAAUAAUGUUUCUGUUGAUGAAGCGGGCUUCAACCUGGCCAAAACUCAGUAACGUGGGCGGAACCGCAUUGGCCAACGGGCGACCGUCCAAGUACCUGGGGAAACAUCUCCAUGUGCACAGCAAUCUCUUGUGGUUGGUGUGGUAGGAUGUAAGCCGUUAGAUCCUACAACGCUGCACACCUCAUUGUGUUUCUUAAUGAACUUGAGCAGGCCUGUCAAGGUGAAGGGGUUACAUAUGUCAUUGUGUGGGACAAUGUCAAGUUCCACUAUGCAGAGGUGGUUCAGGUGUAACCGGUGCUGUACUGCACCACUGUAGCUCUGCGUUGUGUGUGGUUGAUUGAGACUAUAGACGUGGACUUUGGAGAUCAGGUAGUUUUAAUUCAUCAGAAUUCACUCUGCAUCUUGAAUCCAAAAAGAAAAGAAAAACAUUUGUAGGGCACAUAUGUCCCGCGAAUCGUCACC